CCUGCACCGACUGCAGUCCGGUUAUGCAACGCAGUCGGAUUUUAUUGGCCUGUCCGAGGGGGAGACACCGGUCCGCCCAUCGCAGUUUACUGCCUCAUUCAUGGAUCAGAGGAGAGUAACCAAACUGCAUCCACUGGAUUGGAUAGUUUCACUGGAUCAGGAUCCUUGCUGCACUGGGCAGGACAUGAGAAAUUGUGAUCGCCACAGGAGGAGGAUCUGAAGACCAUCUUGUACAGGGGACUUCUCUUCUCUUCAUGUUCCGUCCUUUACAGGGUUGGAGGAUAUGGUAGCUCUCCACGUACUUCUAUUUUCAGCUGUUCUUACUGCCUCACUGUACUGCAUUUCUGUCCACUCCUUUAUAUUGUCUGUCCACAUUGCUCUUGGUCGUCCUCUUUGCCCUCUUCCAUCUAUUUUUUCCUCUAAUAAUAUUCUUGAUAUGUUAUUUUUUCUUAUGAGAUGACCAAAGUACCUGAGUUUUCUGAGUCGUAAUAUGUGCUCUAAUUGUGUGCUCUUAUUUUUUA